rnacentral:rRNA from 1 species
UACGAAGGGGCUAGCGUUGCUCGGAAUGACUGGGCGUAAAGGGCGCGUAGGCGGUUUGUACAGUCAGAUGUGAAAUCCUGGGCCUCAACCUGGGGGCUGCAUUUGAUACGUGCGGACUUGAGUGAGGAAGAGGGUCGUGGAAUUCCCAGUGUAGAGGUGAAAUUCGUAGAUAUUGGGAAGAACACCGGUGGCGAAGGCGGCGACCUGGUCCUUGACUGACGCUGAGGCGCGAAAGCGUGGGGAGCAAACAGG